rnacentral:rRNA from 1 species
CCUACGGGGUGCAGCAGUGGGGAAUAUUGCACAAUGGAGGCAACUCUGAUGCAGCGACGCCGCGUGAAGGAAGAAGUAUUUCGGUAUGUAAACCUCUAUCAGCAGGGAAGAAAAUGACGGUACCUGACUAAGAAGCCCCGGCUAACUACGUGCCAGCAGCCGCGGUAAUACGUAGGAGGCAAGCGUUAUCCGGAUUUACUGGGUGUAAAGGGAGCGUAGGCGGAGAUGCAAGUCAGAAGUGAAAGCCCGGGGCUCAACUCCGGGACUGCUUUUGAAACUGUAUGGCUAGAUUGCAGGAGAGGCAAGUGGAAUUCAUAGUGUAGCGGUGAAAUGCGUAGAGAUUAGGCGGAACACCAGUGGCGAAGGCGGCUUGCUGGACUGUAAAUGACGCUGAGGCUCGAAAGCGUGGGGAGCAAACAGGAUUAGAUACCCGAGUAGUC